rnacentral:rRNA from 1 species
GGUAAUACGUAGGUGGCAAGCGUUGUCCGGAUUUACUGGGCGUAAAGGAUGCGUAGGCGGAUAUUUAAGUGGGAUGUGAAAUACCCGGGCUCAACUUGGGUGCUGCAUUCCAAACUGGAUAUCUAGAGUGCAGGAGAGGAAAGCGGAAUUCCUAGUGUAGCGGUGAAAUGCGUAGAGAUUAGGAAGAACACCAGUGGCGAAGGCGGCUUUCUGGACUGUAACUGACGCUGAGGCAUGAAAGCGUGGGGAGC